rnacentral:sRNA from 1 species
UUAUUUUCUUUUGAGCGAUUGUGCGAACAUAGCAUAGCACGCACUAUGCCUUCUGUGUUGUAGCUGUCUGGCCAGGGCGACUGGCGGAUAAGGUCUUGUGUGUGGCCUCGAGGCUUAAAAGUAGCAGCGGGGCUUUGUGAAGGACAAAAUGGCGAUGGCGGGCCGUGUAGGUCCCCCUUCCUAUGAUGAGGACCUUUUCACAGACCUGUACUGAGCUCCGUGAGGAUAAGUAACUCUGAGGAGAUGGGCCCUGCAAGCCUCCUGCUUAGCCGUCUCUUCAGAAAAUAGCGUUUUCGAAAUGCCUUGUGUUGACCUAAUGUCUUAUUGGGCUCCUGUCUGCAGGAUUUACGCGCACGUUGGAACCGAAGAGAGCUCUGUUGUUGCAAUGUUCAGCCCACAAGACCUUACUGGUGAAGGAAUGGGACAAGACCCAUCUUUAUGCAAAGCCAGCGUUACAGUAAUGUCCCAGCAUCUCAUAAUCUAUCCUGGGGAAUUCAGCUGCCUCCCAGGGUGAAUACAGGUAUUCCUGAUGACAGUCUGCCUUCUAUCUUACAGUAAGUUGUUUUUCGAAUUCUGUGGGCCUAUUAUCUAAUAGAUAACUUAGGCAUUUUGAUAUUUGUUACCAAAGCCUGCUUAACCCAUAAAGUUUUCUGGUUCCUCUUGUUCUCUGUAGUGAUGUUUCUAGACCUCCCCUUUUUUCUCUCAGAUAGAUGCCCACUGAUCUGCCCAGGGUCAGACGAAUGCUUGUCAGUUGUAGCUUUCCAGGAUUCAGCUCCAAUGAGGAGGAAACAUCCUGCCUUACCCCUGUUUUAGCCUGGGAACCAGUAAUUGUGAACUCACCAGGGUUAACUUGAAGAGGGCAUGAGAGCUUAUUCCAUAAGGAACUGUCUGAGACAUUUGGUUACCUUUUCUUAGUUUGUCCAUUAGCAACCGUAACUAAAAUAGUUUUGGCCGUUUGGGAUAAUUAGCUAAUUGAAU